rnacentral:rRNA from 1 species
UACGGAGGGUGCGAGCGUUGUCCGGAAUCAUUGGGCGUAAAGGGCGCGUAGGUGGCCCGGUCAGUUCGUGGUGAAAGCGCGGGGCUCAACCCUGCGUCGGCCAUGAAUACUGCCGCGGCUGGAGCACUGUAGAGGCAGGCGGAAUUCCGGGUGUAGCGGUGGAAUGCGUAGAGAUCCGGAGGAAGACCGGUGGCGAAGGCGGCCUGCUGGGCAGUUACUGACACUGAGGCGCGACAGCGUGGGGAGCAAACAGG